ensembl:lncRNA
UUGAGGUAGUUUUGAAUGCCCCCACCCACCCCCCCAACCCCAACCGCUACGUAACCCCCGCCCCCCUUUUAAGGAAUGUCUUGGCCAGCUGCUGUGAGGGGAAGAUGGUGGGAGGGGGUCGUCAUAGUGGGAGUGUAGGGGGGUGGUGAUGAGGCACACACUGACCCUGGAGGUUGCGUUCCCCUUUAAAAGUCACGGCACACUCAGAUACGCAAGGCUCAUGCAGGAGCUGCUGCGGCAGUGGGAGAACACUGCUGAGCUGUGCAGUUUGUACUGCCAGUGAGCGCGCAGAGAGGAGGAGGGGGAGCAAGAGAUAGAAAAAGAGAGAGAGAGCCAGAGAAUGAGGCAGGGAUAGAAAGCGAACAAUGUCAUUCCAUUCAGCAGGCAAUGCUGCAGUCAACUUUACACCUCCGGAGAAGAAGACACGGCCGCUUGUGCAUCAUCCCUGCAAGACCCGGAGUUUUUGCUGCUGAAGCCCUAAAGCAGAGGGCGCUGUGCAGACCAACAAGAACAUGCCUUGACUUGUACCGGCUUGUCAGGAGGGAGUUAAGGCUUGUGGUCAGCACCAGCAACUGUAUUGUUCUCAUCUAAAUGACCAGUGAAAGAUGACAACUGCAUACUAUCGACUGGAGAAUAUAUGGAUAUUGGGACAGACUGAGCUGAGAAUCUCGGCAGGGAUAUCCUCUCUCUGGAAGAUCCCUGACUUCACCUCCUCUGAUGACAUGACCCCUGAGAGAGACAAAAGAAACGUUUCCAGAUGUCCUGGAGAAGAUGAGAGACCCUGUGUCAGCAGUAAGGAAACCUCUCACCUACCUUCAUCUCUUGGAAAGCAAAAGCAGAACAAAGGCUUAUUCUUUAAGGGGAAAUCUACCUCUGUCCCUUGGCUGUCAUACAAGUACUGUGUGUGGACAUUCCACGAGCAGAGUAUUAAAGUGUCCAGAGCUGACCUGCAGGAGACGGCAGAGUCAUAUACUGGAAGCCUUUACAGUCACCGACAGCUGAUGGUGAUGGAAGGAAAGAGAGCGAGUGAGGGAUGAGGGCUGCUGCUGUGAGUGGUUCUUUGGCAGUGUCUUAGCUGGUUGUUGUGUGGAGUGAGAACGAAGCAAUCAGCAAGUAUACUGCCGCAGAAACUCGUCACCUUGAGAGGCCCAUCCAUCCGACCCCGCUCAUACACUCGACUGCCCACCCGCACUCAGAGGCUGGAGAGAGACAGGAAAAGAGAAACCUUAGUCUGUGCUCAUUAUCAAGCUUCUCUACCCAUUCAUUCUUCUUCUAAUUGUGAGUGUCAGCUUUUGUUUAAUGGCACCGCUGCUUAAACACUUACAGCGACUUGAGUGUUUCAAGUGAAAGAUUGGUUCAUGCUUACAGUAUGUUUACUCUUAUUUUCUAUGACAUUGCUGACUUAGUUUAGAUCAGUCUGUUCCCUUUCUUUCUUCUUCCAUGAGAUCAAGAGUGAAUCAUUCAAGUGUUAUUGUGAAUAUCAGCUGACCAGAUUUCACAGUUUCAGUAAUGGUAUGACUUGGCCUAUAUUUAGCUUACAGUCUGAUGACAUAUGCAUACUGUGUUCUGUGUAUGUAUAAACUUAAUCGUGGACCAAAACAUUAAUCAUAUGAUAAACCAAAAAUAAUAUUUAUUUACAUUUCACUUAUAUACUAAAAUUAGAGAGAAUAUACAUGUGAAAGAAAGAAAUACAGUGGGUAAGGAAAGUAUUCAGACCCCCUUAAAUUUUUCACUUUCACCCUAAUACUUAGGACCAUGUGAUAUUUCAGUUUUUCUUUUUUAAUAAAUCUGCAAAAAUGUAAACA